rnacentral:snoRNA from 1 species
GAGCUUGUGAUGAUUCAAUUCCAAAAGGAUCUUAGCGGAUUUCUAUGGCGAUUCAGUAGUCGUUGAUCGCUUAAUGUUGUUACACACACUGAGGCCU